UUUUGCUGCAUAGAUUACAACGGUGAUGGCGGGCAAGCGGUCCGGCUGGAGCCGGGCGGCUCUCCUCCAGCUCCUUCUCGGCGUGAACCUGGUGGUGAUGCCGCCCACCCAGGCCCGGAGUCUGCGCUUCGUUACCUUGCUGUACCGCCAUGGAGACCGUUCACCAGUGAAGACAUAUCCCAAGGACCCCUAUCAGGAAGAAGAAUGGCCCCAGGGGUUUGGUCAGUUAACCAAGGAGGGGAUGCUACAGCACUGGGAGCUGGGCCAGGCCCUGCGGCAGCGCUAUCAUGGCUUCCUAAACACCUCUUAUCACCGGCAAGAGGUAAGGGGAACGGGGUAUGCUGCCCUCAUCUUUUGCCCUCAGGGAGCCUAAGGCUGAGGCUGGGCACUUUGGCCUCCUUGUAUUUUUGGUCACAACUACAGGAAAAGACAUCUGAGAGCUGUCUGGAACAAAGCCCUAGGAGCUGAGUUGCCCCUGCUUGGCUGGGAAGAGGCAAACUUGAUUAAGCAUCCCAAUUCAGACUUAAGGGCGGGCCUGGCAAAGUG
rnacentral:sRNA from 1 species